AUUGUCUAACGCUUGUGCAACAUCCAAAUAUGGCUGUUGUGUCCUAUUAAAUGGUUAGGUAAUUCACUUAGGAAACUAAAUGUUAACUAGAAAAUCUUUGAGUUUCAACACUCAUAGUUGAAAAUUUUGCAAAAGCUACAGCUAUACUUUUUUGUCUCAGUAAUUAUAAAUAAGAACCGAAUUUGUCUUUCAUCCCAAUGUUUUGUACAGGAUGUAUUUUGAGACAGAACUACAAUUAGCACUGAAUCUAAGACAAACUAUGAAAAUUUGUUUUUGAGCAAAUUCCUAAUAGCAAGUUAAACAGCUGGCACUUAAUUUCUCUUCAAAAGAAAAAACUAUACCAAUUGAUAUUUUGCUGCAGUAGAGAAAUCACAAAGAAUAUACUGUAGGUCCUUGAAUAAUGUUUUGUUCAAUGGUGUUUUGUUCAGCAUCAUUUUGUUAUGAUGCUGAUGAGAAAAAAAAUCCAUUCCCAGCCAGGGCCACGUCUGUGUGAGUCUGAACAUUCUCCCCAUGUUUGUUUGAGUUUUCUCUGGUUACCCGAGUUUCCUCUCACAUCCCAAAGAUGUGCACAUCAGAUGAACUGGCAUGCAUGUCUAAACAGUCCCAGUGUGAGUGCCGGGGUGUGUGUGAGUGCACUCUGUGAUUUAAUCACGUCCCAUUCAGGAUUGGUUUCCACCUUGUGCCCUGAGUUGCUGGAAUGUGCUCUGGCUACCCAUGACCAUGAAUUAGAAUAAUUAAGUAAAUAACAGUCUUGUUUUUAUUGAUCUUUCUUAAAGAUAUGCACAGCUCACAUUUAUUUCAAUGUUUAAUAUUAGAAGAGUCUUGGGUCUUUAUUUAUAAAUUUAGUGAUAUUUUUGUGACCAGAAAUAUACCACAAGAACUUAACUCUUGUUUAUAUCAACUAGCCUAUGAUAAAACUGGCUUUGUAAUAUGCUGUUUCAGUUAAAGUCAGUUUCCAAGACGUUAUCAAUGACAUCAAGUGAGGACUUACUGUACUUAUAUAUGACUCUGCCUGACAACAGCAGGUGUUCAAAUAUUUCUUGACAGUGACAUACUGACAUGUCCAUAUAUGACAUGCCAUUAACAAAAUUUAGAACUUUACAAAAUCUACUUAUCUUUCUCCAGUGAAAUCAGUUCAUCAGUUAUCUAACUAAAGAUAACCAGGAUUCAUUUUAACUUCUAAAGUCUUAAAUAAUUUGAAAAGCCACACAGUAAAGGUGAAAGAUCACAGACUUUAGAGUUAGACAAACCUGGGUCUGAACCUCUAGUUCUUAGCCCUACCCUAGGUAAGGUACUUAAAAGUUUAAAAUUUACUUUAGAAUUUCUUUUUCCAUCUGUAAAACAGGAAUAUCUAUCUCACAUAGUCAUUCUGAAGAUUAAAUUGAAUGCCAUAGCUUUCAUCACAGUAUCAGUUAUAUAAAAGACAAUAAAUGGUACUGAGUGUCAUAAAAUAGAAGAAAAUAUUUAAGUCAAAUAGGGCUACUUCCAUUUUUUAAACAUACGGUAAUUGGCAAAAUAAAAUCUAAACUCUUCUGGAAAUCGCAUGAGAUUCUCAUAGGAAAGCAAAUCCUAUCGCCAACUGCACAUAUGAGGGAUCUAGGUUGUGCGCUCCUUAUGAGAAUCUAAUGCCUGAUGAUCUGUCACUGUCUCCCAUCAUGCCUGGAUGAGACAACCUAGCUGCAGGUAAACAAGCUCAGGGCUCCCACUAAUUUGACAUUAUGGUGAAAUGUAUAAUUAUUUCAUUACAUAUUACAAUGUAAUAAUAGAAAUAAAGUGCACAAUAAAUAUAAUGUGCUUGAAUAAUCCCAAAACCAU
rnacentral:lncRNA from 1 species